AACAUCAACUCCUCUGUGAUUUAGAGUGCGCACAUGACUACAAUCCUGUCUGUGCCACUAAUGGACAAACAUAUGACAACAAAUGCUUAUUGAACUGUCGCGGUGCAAAAUAUGCCCACAACGGCGCUUGCAAAGCCGCUGUACAACCUAAUCAGGAGGAUUCUACUACUCAGGCCCCAUAAGGAGCAAGGAGCCUACAAAUAAAAGACAGAAAUGAUAUUCAAAAUAAAUUAAAGCAAUAUAUCAUUUAAAA